rnacentral:lncRNA from 1 species
GUGUUCCGACCCUAAACAGUCAGUUGAGAACGUUCAUCUUCACAUACAAAGGCGGAAUCAAUGCACAUGAAGUUAUACAACUUUUCCUCUUUAAUUUCUUCUCUAUUGAUGCUUUCUGAUUACAAUUUGACAGAGUUUCGUUACCACAAGCAUGAACCGGUUCCGCUCCAACAUACACACAUGAGGUAGUUCUACAUUAUUGUUGAUUGUUUGCCAUGGCGGUCUAAUAGACCGAUCUGAGGCAAAUGGCUUGGUCGCGUAAUGGGUAAAAAAGACAAGUUCUUAUACAGGUUUGUGGUCAAUGGUGAAAGAAGAGCAACCACAUGCAAGGCUAAUAGCCUUAUAACCAUGGAAUAGUUUCUAAUGAGGUAGUUCACUGGCUGCUUGCGAAGCCCGUUAAGCCUAUCAUGCAUCGCCCCAGAGUUACUAUCUCCUGAAAGAUUGGGAUUAAAGCUAAAACCGAUUAAAAAAUGGAGUGUCAUCGCCCAAUUCAAAUGCCAUCGACAGAUUAAAGUUGAGGCUGCUACUUGGUAUGGUUUGUCACAAGUGAAAAGCUAUUCCAUUGGCACACAGGAGAUGGAUAUGCGGGUCACUAUUAUUUCGAGUCGUCUGAAGUCCAAAUCAAAGCAACCUAGCAGAUUCUGUAGUUUACGAUUGGUACAAUACAGUUCAAACGCCAUUUGAUCAACAAUUGUUUUAACACCAUCACCAUAUCAACGUUUUGAACGCACAAUGGAGUGUGGUGCUGAUCGGAUCCCCACCGGAUCUCCACGGCAACGCGUGAGUUUUGGAGUUUGCAAUGUUAUCAUACCAAGAAUGAUUCGGUUAAGCGCAACGUGGCGCUGUGUAUAAAGGUUAUUUCUUGAAUUUGCUUAAAUAGAAGUACUAAUUCCAAAGAAGGUUCGGGAUUCUGAUCCAUUCUUUUUCCAAUUUCUCAAAAAGAAAUUCAAAGUUAGUCACCGGAUCCGUGAAGCCUAAGUUUGGAAAUGCCUAGAACAAAAAUGAUGAUCUACGUGGGCUUCAAUGCCAGUAGAUAUUAUAUGUUUGUGUUAAGCCACCCGCGAAACUCACGGGAUCUUAGGCUAGUUUUGUAAUAAAUUUUAAAAUGCUUAUCGUUUUGAGUUUUCUAUUUCUUUUAG